rnacentral:lncRNA from 1 species
CAGGAGGUAAAGAAAUAGCCAAUCAUCUAUUGCCUGAGAGCAAAGCGGGAGGGACAAUGAUCGGGAUAGAAACCCAGGCAUUCAAGCCGGAAUGGCUACCCUCUUUGGGUCCCCUCCCUUUGUAUGGGAGCUCUGUUUUCACUCUAUUCAAUCUUGCAACUGCACUCUUCUGGUCCGUGUUUGUUACAGCUUGAGCUGAGCUUUCGCUCGCCUUCCACCACUGCUGUUUGCCGCCAUCGCAGACCUGCCGUGCUGACUUCCAUCCCUCUAGAUCUGGCAGGGUGUCCGCUGUGCUCUUGAUCCAGCGAGGCGCCCAUUGCCGCUCCCGAUUGGGCUAAAGGCUUGCAAUUGUUCCUGCACGCUAAGUGCCUGGGUUCAUCCUCAUCAAGCUGGGUUCCACGGUUCUCUUCAUGACCCGCAGCUUCUAACAGAGCUAUAAAACUCUGUGCAUGGCCCAAGAUUCCAUUCCUUGGAAUCUGUGAGGCCAAGAACCCCAGGUCAGAGAACAGGAGGCUUGCCACCAUCUUGGAAGUGGCUCGCCACCAUCUUAGGAGCUCUGUGAGCGGAGACCCCCACCCCCCGGUAACAUUUUGGCGACCACGAAGGGACCUCCAAAGCGAGCUAGGGAGAUACCUGUGCCAACUCUGGCUUUGUUUGCUCUGCCAGACAAUCCUGAUGCUGCAAAGUCAAAUCAUCGUGAAGGAAGUUUGUGCAAAUGUGGGAAACAGGACUAUAAUCCUGCUUGAAGUUUGCUUAGAUUCCUGGGAAGUCUCCCUAUUCCAACCCUUUUUGAGAAAGAGGUUGUGUUCUGCUAAAGUCAAGAAGAAAACCAAGAAACAGGAAACCAUGAGAUGUAGCAGAAGAGGGAGGCAAAGUAAAAUCCUAGGAAGAUGCAACAAAAGUAUCAAGACCACAGCAAGCCUAGAUCAACCAGUCCAAGUCUGAAGGCCUGAGGACCAGGAGCACUGAUGAUACUGAGAAAACGUGGUCCUUUUGUCGGUAAAAGAGUUUGGUAUAACAACAUCAAUGCAUGCGGGAAUUGUUCCUUUCUGCCUAAAGUACAGUUUUGGAUGAAGAAAAAAAGAUGAAGCUGUUUUCCAGAGACCAGCACUUCAUCCCUGAGAAAAUGUCAAGAUUAUAGGCAUGCUCUAUAGAAGAUAAUGAGUUAAUACCGAAUGGCUAAAUCAGGGGAGUAUUUGAUUGGGGUUCCCAGAAACCAACAAGAUGUGGAUUCAUAUUCAAAUGCUUCCAGGAGAAUCAAGUAAGGAAGUUAAGAAAGAGAAAGAAAGGAAACAAAGGCUUCUCUGAAGACAUGUCAUUUUACCCAAGACCUGAAAGAUGAGGAUGGUCAAGCCCUAUCACAAAACAAGUGAAGAUGUCCAGGCAAGUAUUCCAAAAUGAAUAAAGAACCUAGAGUGAACAUCAUACAUUCAGGAUCCUCCUCAAGAAAGAAAAUAUGACUGAAACCAUUGAUGGCCUCAACAUAUUCUUCUACAAUUGAUUUGUUCAUUAUCUUUUAAUGGACAUUUUGCUCUGAGUGAGAAAGAGAGAGAGGCCGGGAGGGGGGAAGGGCACAGAAUUGUAUAGGGUAUGCACAUUUACAAUUUUAUUUGAUUCACCAACUUGCUCUCAAACAGGGUUGAACCAAUUGUUGCUCUCAAGCAUGCAUAAGAUAUUCUGUUACUCUUUGCAAUCAGCCACAUUUACAGUAGUGUAUAGUAGUGCAUGUGCCGGUGUAGUGUGUGUGUGAGCGCAUGGGAGCGAGCGAGCGAGCGAGAGAGACAGAGAGAGAGAGGGAGGGGGGAGAAGUAGAGAGAGAGAGUUUUAAUUUGGCCAUUUUUAUGGAGAGAGAGAGAGAGGGAGGGAGGGAGAGGGGAGAAGUAGAGAGAGAAUUUUAAUUGGGCCAAGUUUAUGGAGGUAUGAAAUGAUUAUUUUUUUCUUAUGGUUUUUAGUUACAUGUCUCUUAUUACUGCUGAAGUUAGCACACUUUCAGAUAAACAUGCAGAAACACACCCACCAUUUGGAUGUCUUCCCUAGGAAUUGCCUGUACAUAAACCUUGACCUCUCUGCUUGGAUAGCUGACUUUUUAUCUUGUUGAUUCAUAGGAGUUAUUUACAUACUUUGGAUAAGAAUUCUUGCAGAUUAUGUUAUUUUUCCCAGAGCUUGGUUUUUUAUUUUCACAUACAUACUGCCUGUUUUAAUGAGAAGAAAUUUUAAAAGUAUCUACUUUUUAUCCUUAUCUUUCCUGUUUUAGCUAUUUAUAUCUUGUUUAAUAAACAUUUCUUUUCCCUGAGGCAACAGAGACAUUCAGACACAUUUAAAAAUUUUUACAUUUUCAGUAUUCACUUUUAGGUCCAACGUACCUUGAAUUCAUUUGUGUGUGUGUGUGUGUGUGUGUGUGUGUGUAUCCUGUAGGUAUGGAUCUAACUUAAUUUAUCACAGGAAUAACUGUCCCAGCUCCAUUUAAUGGCUACUGUGCCCUUUUCUACUGACCUGGUGCCUCUGUCACAUGUUGAGUUUCCAACUGAUUCAGCACUCUGUAUUUCAGCUCUUCACUGUGUGGCCUUAGAUUUGUCGCCUGUGGAUUACUAUUUAAAUGUUCAUUGUUUUACCUUUAAAUAAAAUUUCUUUUAGAACAGGGUAAUUCCUUCUCUUUUUUGGCUCCUCCUUGCUCCUUCCACUUUCCUUCCCUCCUCCUCACACUUCUCUUUGUCUUAUGAAAUUAUCUUGCCAAUUUUUUGAACGUUUGCCCAUCCAGUCAAGUAACAAAGACUUAGAUACAUUCAUGGAGAAGUGACCUUGUUGAAAAUUGAGAAAUGGCUGCUUUCUCAAUUUCUGCAAGUCUUUAAAAGUGUCUUUCAAGAAUUAUAUAUCAUUUUUACCCUACAACUAAUAAAGAAAUGACAAUUUUAUUAUUAUUAUGGAUCCAGUAUAUCCUUAAUAAUUAUUUUUAGUAUAAAAUCUGUUUUAUUACAUCAAUAUAGUUUGAAUAUUUU